rnacentral:rRNA from 1 species
GACGAACCAAAUUGGCCCGUUUCCUUUCGGUUAUGAGCGCCGCUUUGAGUUUGUCAUCCUUCCAGAGAGCUGCGUCUACCGUUUACUCGGCCGGACGUAUGCGAUCUGGAUCUAUUACUUUGAAAAAAUUAGAGUGUUUAAAGCAGGCAUUUGCUCUGAAUACAUUAGCAUGGAAUAAUAAUUUAGGACUUUGGUUCUAUUUUGUUGGUUUCUAGGACUGAAGUA